rnacentral:rRNA from 1 species
AACGAACGCUGGCGGCAUGCCUAACACAUGCAAGUCGAACGAGACCUUCGGGUCUAGUGGCGCACGGGUGCGUAACACGUGGGAACCUGCCCUUAGGUUCGGAAUAACUCCCCGAAAGGGGUGCUAAUACCGGAUAAUGUCUUCGGACCAAAGAUUUAUCGCCUUUGGAUGGGCCCGCGUUGGAUUAGCUAGUUGGUAGGGUAAAAGCCUACCAAGGCGACGAUCCAUAGCUGGUCUGAGAGGAUGAUCAGCCACACUGGGACUGAGACACGGCCCAGACUCCUACGGGAGGCAGCAGUGGGGAAUAUUGGACAAUGGGCGAAAGCCUGAUCCAGCAAUGCCGCGUGAGUGAUGAAGGCCUUAGGGUUGUAAAGCCCUUUUACCCGGGAUGAUAAUGACAGUACCGGGAGAAUAAGCUCCGGCUAACUCCGUG